GCUCUUGUAGCUCAGUGGUAGAGCGCAUCCUUGGUAAGGAUGAGGUCGGCGGUUCAAAUCCGCUCAAGAGCUCCA
rnacentral:tRNA from 1 species